rnacentral:RNase_P_RNA from 1 species
UUUGACAGACAAUCGCCGGCGGCUGAAGAGCCGCGGGAGGAAAGUCCGGGCUCCAUAGGGCAGGGUGCUGGAUAACGUCCAGUCAGCGCGAGUUGAAGGAUAGUGCCACAGAAAUGGACCGCCGAUGGCCGCCGCAAGGCGUGCACAGGCAAGGAUGGAACCGAGGUGUAAGAGACCCCGAGGAACGCUGGUGACUUCGUUCCUGGUAAACCCCACUUGGAGCAAGACCUAAUGGGACGCAGCUUCUUUGCGAAGCGGCCUUUGCCCGAGGCGCGUCCGGGUUGGUUGCUGGAGCCGCCCAGUAAUGUGCGGCCUAGAUAGAUGAUUGUCACUCAACGCGGGAGGGUUGUUCCCGUUCUACCGCAACGAGUACAGAACCCGGCUUACGG